UGCAGUCGCACGGUUCCGAUGGCCCGCAAGGGCUGUCGGGAUAGUGGCGAACGGGUGAGUAACGCGUGAGCAACCUGCCCGCGAGUGGGGAACAACCCCGGGAAACUGGGGCUAAUACCGCAUAACACCCGAGGACGUUGGUUCUUGGGUUGAAAGCCCGCAAGGGCGCUCGUGGAGGGGCUCGCGUCCGAUCAGCUAGUUGGUGAGGUAACGGCUCACCAAGGCGGAGACCGGUAGCCGGCCUGAGAGGGUGUUCGGCCACACUGGGACUGAGACACGGCCCAGACUCCUACGGGAGGCAGCAGUGAGGAAUAUUGCGCAAUGGGGGAAACCCUGACGCAGCGACGCCGCGUGGAGGACGAAGCCCUUCGGGGUGUAAACUCCUUUCGACCCGGACGAAACCUCCGCAAGGAGAUUGACGGUACGGGUAGGAGAAGCCCCGGCUAACUACGUGCCAGCAGCCGCGGUAAUACGUAGGGGGCGAGCGUUGCUCGGAAUUACUGGGCGUAAAGGGUCCGUAGGCGGCUCGGUAUGUCCGUCGUGAAAUCUCCUGGCCUAACUGGGAGCAGCCGACGGAAACUGCCGGGCUCGAGGGCGGGAGAGGUGCGUGGAAUUGCGGGUGUAGCGGUGAAAUGCGUAGAGAUCCGCAGGAACACCGGCGGCGAAGGCGGCGCACUGGACCGCUCCUGACGCUGAGGGACGAAAGCUGGGGGAGCAAACAGGAUUAGAUACCCUGGUAGUCCCAGCCCUAAACCAUGGUCACUGGGUGUGCCCGGCGUUCGUCGGGCGUGCCGACGCUAACGCAUUAAGUGACCCGCCUGGGGGAGUACGGUCGCAAGACUGAAACUCAAAGGAAUUGACGGGGGGCCCGCACAAGCGGGUGGAGCAUGUGGGUUCAAUUUCGACGCAACGCCGAAGAACCUUUACCUGGGGC
rnacentral:rRNA from 1 species